CUCUUACAUCACAAUGCGAGAGCUCUGGUCUCCAUGAGGACGAGCAGAAAACAGAAAGGAGGCUGCAGAGCCCUUUAGGCUCACUUUGAAAACAGGACUUGCCGAGUUGUGGCUGAAUUCACAGAGGUCUGCCGCCAUAAUCUGUAACCGCAGCCAUGGAGGGAACUGCUAGUCAUAACGUCCACCACCAGGUAAGAGAUGACCAUUGGUCAGAGCCUAAGGGAUAGAGAUGGAAUUGUUUUAUGACCUUUAACAUAACACAGAGCUUGGGGAGAAACAGAAAUGUAGGAGGGCUUCUUGGAACUGAUGAUGCAGACAAGUAUUGGCAUGUAAAGGACCUUCCAUUUUUAUUUUUGAUAAUAAUUUAAUAUUAGUUUUCAAUUACAAUCCAAUAAAUGCUUCAUUAUAGCAAUACCAAUUUACAAUACAAUUACUUUGUUCAAAUACUGAAUUAUAUAAUUUAGAUAAAGUGGGCUAGAAUUGAUGGUUGAUGAUUUGCUUUGUUUCUGCGUUCCAAAAUCUUAUUCAUUUCAAUUACAUUCCGGUCAUCAUAAUAAUUGUUAUGUACUGAAGUUCUCACCCUGGGCCAGCAGGGGGAUACUGUAGAUAGUUAUGCAAAUGAAGGAUCGAAAGUGAUGUUCAGUGAUUGGAUAGUUUAGAAAACUGUUACAGUAACAAGGUACUGGAGAUCUAUAUAAGCAGGCUGACUGAGCCCUUAAGCUCAGUUCAGUUCUGGCCUCAGAAUAAAGAAGAGCUGUUUGAAGAAUCGCUGUGUCGUCUGAUAUGUUCGCCCACAACUUAACAAUAAUGCCAUUAUACAACAACUGCAAUACAGUGGUACCUCAGGUUACAUAUGCUUCAGGUUACAUACGCUUCAAGUUAAAGACUCCGCUAACCCAGAAAUAGUGCUUCAGGUUAAGAACUUUGCUUCAGGAUGAGAACAGAAAUCGUGCUCCGGUGGUGCGGCGGCAGCAGGAGGCCCCAUUAGCUAAAGUGGUGCUUCAGGUUAAGAACAGUUUCAGGUUAAGAACGGACCUCCGGAAUGAAUUAAGUACUUAACCUGAGGUACCACUGUAUUAAUAACUUCUAUUCGUGUUGACACAUUGAAUGAUUUAUAAAACUACAAGUGAGGUACUCAGACUGUAACCUUGUUCUUCCUGUGUGUGGCAAUUAUUCUGUCUGUGGUGUUUCUCCUGUCCUUGUAAACUAUUAUGUCUAUCUUUCCCCCGGUUGUUGCUGCUAUGCCUUGGGUGGAGCUGAUAUCCCACUGUUGUACCAGAAAUUUCUCCCUCACUCUGUCCCAUGAAGGGUCUUCAUCUGAUUCCUGAGGCAAGAAAUGGGAAAUAAGAAGUCUAAGGCAGCUUUAGGAAGGACUGAGGGCACCUCAAAUCUUCCAGAUUUGUUUAUUUUAUUUAUUUGUUUGAUUUCUAUACCACCUGAAAUAUACUCAGUCGAGAGUGGAUUUCAUGCUCUUUAUUCAGCUCAUAGUGGUGAGGAGGAAUGAAAGUCCCCUCAAAGUAUCUGCUUUAUAUACAUUAUUUACACAAUGGGCUGCACGUGAUUGGCUAAUUCCAGAAUUCUCCUGUAGGCCAAUCAGGUUGUGGAUUCACUUCCAUCUGGAGCUGGAUUGGGUGGCUCCUGCAGACCAAUCAUACUGCUGCAUUGUUCUAGGACCAAUCAGACUGCUGUAUUCUGAAUCCUAUUGUUCUAGGACCAAUCAGACUGCUGCAUUUUGGAUCCGAUUGUUCUGGGACCAAUCAGACUGCUGCAUUUUGGAUCCUAUUCAACUCAGUACAUAACACCACCCUUUGUCAUAAGAUCUCAGGGUGGUUCACAGAAUUCAAUACAGGAUAAAAGCAAGUAAAUAGUUAAAAACAAAACAGCAAAACAAUAAUCACCUCCUUCCUACAGACACAUUUAAAAGGCUGUAGAAUAUUAAUUGGCCAAAGGCCUGGUCGAUGAGGAACGUUUUCGCCUGCAUGUUGUGACGCCAGGCUGUUUUGUGCAAAUCAACUCCUUUUUUGCUCGUGAACCUUGAUUGGCAGGUUGUUGGGGGGUUUCUUUUGCCACCCAUAACAUGACAAGCUGCUGGCACAGCCCUGCUUGCCUUACAAAAAAUUUUAAUGGCUUUUCAGUUGGAAUGAUUUCCAUCCGUGGAAGUAAACGCUGUUUCUAAGCGUUGCCUUUUACUUUUCCAACCCCUUGCCUGCCUGCCUGCUCCGCUCUAUCAUGAGCUGGGCUUCCCCUGUGUCGUAAACACCAGCACUGAUUUGGCGCUGGAGGAAAUUGCUGAUUAAAAGUCCAUUUCCAAGGGCCAAGGGUGCGCUGCUCAGUCAGUCUAGACUCCUAACUUGCCUCAAUUAAAAGUUAAUUUCUUCACAAUGUUAAUAGAAGGCCGUAAUCCUGUCCAUUUUACAACUUGACGUAAAUCUGAACUGAUGCCUCUACCUCCUGAAGUCAUAGCGAGGUCACAGAGAUCAUUAUGCUGGCAGCUGACAUUGGCUAAUCUUUUAGGCUUUAGUGGGUAAUCAGUGGUUAGAAUUAAAUUUAACAAGAGAGCCUGAUGUUGAGGACUUUCCCUCCCCCUUAACUUUUGCCACCAUUAUCCAUAGCACAGCCUUUUAUAUAUUUACAGAAAUAUAUUCUGUGGAAUGCUACACUUUGCGUGUCGAGGUCCCCAGGGCCACCCCAAUAACUCACACAUCACACCAAUAUUUUUGUUUAAGGUUUUUGGCGUAAUUUUGGCCACAACUUUAUUAAAAUACAAAUAUGUGAGUGGUUGCUUAGGCACUGGUUGCGACUAGCUGCCCCCACCGUGGGGGACAGUCUGACAUUCCGCAUGCAUGCGAAAGUCAGAAAAGGGGAAUACACUUGGGGGUAGCGACGGAGCAGGGAACCUGCCCUCACCCCAAAUGCAACCAGGAGCUCAUUGCUAUGGCCCGAGCCCCCUUGACAGGGUGGACAAGCAAUAGUUAGCCCCCGAUUCCUUUAACGGAAUCCCUUGCAGCAGCAGCAUUAGAGGGGCAGGCACAGCCAAUCCAUGCCCCUCAACCAACCAAGCCAUAAACCAAUGCCUAACCGUGAACCUUACAAGUUGUGACGAUUUGCUAUGCAGUAGGCAAAAACCAAAUGGCCCCAGCCAAUCAGCCAGAUGGACAAAAUUCCUACGGGGCCCCUGCCCCAAGAGCAGACGACCCCAUGACAGGCAUAGCAAGGUCAAAGUGAACAACCCUAAUUCUAGGGAGGGGGGGACGGACAAACCGAUGCACGGGCGAAAAGAGGAAGCCCUAGCCUCGUGCAAGGAGUUUUAGCAUUUCUGGCUGUCAAUCAACAAAUGGCAACAUUAACUUCUUCCCAAUGACAAGGGAAGCCCAAUCGCAUCAGUGGCCAAUGGUCAAUUAGCCCGCCCCACAACUUUGGAGUGUCCUGGUGGCCCCCACCGCAACACGUGCUCUCCAUGAAGGAGAACACGCUUUACAGAAAUAUAUUCUGUGGAAUGAAACACUUCCCCACAGGAAUGAGAGAAUGGAUGGAGAGAAAUCUAAACAAGGGAGAGAAGGAAGCCAAUAGGGUUCACAGGCACCUGUUUCCACUGUGUGAAGCCCCAUGAGGUUUGGGAAUCCAGUGCAUGAAACCAGUCUGUUUAUUUCUGGGUGGAAGGAGACAAAGGUCCAAGGGUGAAAGGAGCGUAGACAUACCAAGAUAAAGGACUCAGCUACAUUAGUAAAGAAACAGCGAUUUGAAUGUGCUAUAAACAUGUAACACCAGGUGGCACCAGAGAGCAGGAAAUUUAAAAAUGCAGUUUUCCAUAGAGAUUUUUUUCUUUUGUUAAUAAUAAUAAUAAUAAUAAUAAUAGUAAUAAUAAUAAUGUAUUAUUUAUACCUCAUCUGACUGGGCUUCCCCAGCCACUCUGGGCAGCUUCCAACAAAAUAUUAAAAUGCAGUAAUCCAUCAAACAUUAAAAGCUUCCUUACAAUGAUCUAAUUUCUGAUUUAUUUAUAGUGUGGUUCCUCCCCCCAUGUUUAGAUCCACUGAAGACUGCAACACAUAAGGGUCUUGAAACCUUAACUCCAGGUUUCAAAACUUUUGCUAUUUAUGUGCAAAGUGGGACCUGUGAACCCACAGGCCAAAUCCAAGAUGAGCCUGAAAAAGAGGGGAGGCUAAAUUAUUAGGAGAGCUUAAUCAGAGGCUUGUUCCUGCCUCCUAGUGGUGCUAGAAGGAAGUGUAGGUAGUUGAUUUAUAAGGCGAGAAGUGUCAUGAGAUGUUUCCUCACUGAGUUCUAGUAACUUGGGACCUUAGCCUGGAAUUUCCCUCAGCGGGUGGAAAUGGAAACAUAUAUCCUGUUCUGCCACAAGUGUACAAAACACAGAUAGGCCUAAUUUGUUAUUACUUGGUGUGAUGGAAGGCACUAAAGUCUUUUCAUUUUUCAAACUGCAUCUGUUUAGCCACCUUAAAGCUUGUUCAUUCUUCGGCUUGCAAUUUGAAUUCCAGCCUUCUGUUAUUCUCAUUGCUAAAAUUAGGCAGCAGUGGAUUUAGUCCAGAAUUACCAUUGGACUUUUAUUUCUCAAUCUUGCUAUAGUGUGGACAUCUCCCUUGGGCAGGGCUCUGCGCUUAAAGAGGUAACAAACUAUUUUGUUAGGAACCAUAGACAAUAUGUCUGGCUUCUUACAUGAAUCAAGAAAGGGGAGAUUUUAAUUGCAGAUGUCUUCCAGAUGGUGCUAAUUUAAACAAAACAUGUGCAUGGAACAAAAGGACUUUAAAAUUUUUUAGAAUGAGUGGUUGGUGGUAGUGAGAUUUUAUGCACUCCUUCAAAAACAUCAGCUUUGCUCUGUAUGUGUUACGCAGUACUAAAACCGUCUCUUUUCCUUUUCUUACCAAAUCGUCGUUAUUUAUAUGCACAUUCAUUUCUGCAAGGUCUUCAAUUCACUGAUCACCUUUCCUCGGCUUAUUACACAUAUGAAUCUGUACUUCAAAUUCUGCUUCCUGGAAUGCAAAAUGAGGUCCAACAAGCCUGGAGGCAGAUGAGCAGUCUGAGGAGUGAAAGGAAGGAUUGCUCUGUGUUUAUCGGAGUUUAUCAAAAAGCAGCAAGCCAGUUCAAAGUUAAUCUAAUCAGCAUGUUAUUGAAUUAAAGGCUAAACGGGUAUUUCAGGGCUUAGCUAGACACGACAGUAGCCUGACCUGUGUCUUAAAAUGUGGGUUGCACCGCUGUAAAGCCAGGGAAAGGGGCAAUUUAAAAUGGAGUGGCCAGCUGCUAAACUCUGGCCUUUCUUCUGGUUGGGUUCAUAAAGAAAGUAGGCCACUGGAAAAUGGUAGCAUUGUGUAAUAUUUGGGUUUAUUUGCAAAUACUGUAUACAAGCAGAGAAUAGAGGCAGAUGAAGAUAAUGGACUUUAUGGAGCUGGCUGAUCUCACCGGGAGAAUCCGCGACCAGAAAGAAGAGGAAUAGCAAGAAGAAUGGAAGAAAUUUAAAGACUAUUUGAAUAAAUAUUGUAAUAUUAAAGAUUUGUAACUACUUGAAAGAAGUAAUUAGGUUUAGGAUUAAAUCAGGAUUAAAUAAAUAAAUAAGAAAUAAUACCAUAAGAAAAGUUAGGAAAUAUGAUGAUGACCGGAUUAUUGUUAUAUGAAAUAAUGAUAUUGGAAACGGCUAUAUUCAAUUACAAAGAAAUUCAGUUGGAAGAGAUUAGAGGAAGUUAAGUAAUAUGUUUAUGAAGUUGGAUUUUAAUUAAUUAAGUUUUAUUGUAUUUAUGUAGGUGAUGAUAUUAUGUGGGGUUGGAAAUAUCUUACUUUGUUGGUUUUUUUUUUCCUUUUUCUUCCCACUAUUGUUUUUUCUUUUUCUGUUAUGUUAAAGUUAUGUUUUUAUAUGAAACUCAAUAAAUAUUAUUGUAAAAAAAAGAGAGAGAGAAUAGAUGGAUGCAAGCAGUUUCAUCAUCAUCAUCAUCAUCAUCAUCAUCAUUUAUUUAUACCCUGCCCAUAGGCCGGGCCUCCUCAGCUACUCUGGGCAGCUCCAAGCAGAAUAUUAAAAACAUGAUAAAACAUCAAACAUUAAAAACUUCCCUAAACAGGGCUGCCUUCAGAUGUCUUCUAAAAGUCAGAUAGUUGUUUAUUUCCUUGGUAUCUGAUGGGAGGGCAUUCCACAGGGCGGUGCCACUACCAAGAAGGCCCUCUGCCUAGAUCCCUGUAACUUCACUUCUCGCAGUGAGGGAACCAGCAGAAGGCCCACAGUCCUGGACCUCAUCGUCCGGCCUGAAUGAUGAAGGUAGAGACGCUCCUUCAGGUAUACUGGGCCGAGGCCAUUUAGGGCUUUCAAGGUCAGCACCAACACUUUGAAUUGUGCUGGGAAACGUACUGGGAGCCACUGUAGGUCUUUCAGGACUGGUGUUAUAUGGUCUCAGCAGCCACUCCCAGCCACCAGUCUAGCUGCCAUAUUCUGGAUUAGUUGUAGUUUCCGGGUCACCUUUAAAGGUAGCCCUGCAUAGAGUGCAUUGCAAUAGUCCAAGCGGUAGAUAACCAGGGCAUGCACUACUCUGGCGAGACAGGCUGCAGGCGGGUAGGGUCUCAGCCUGUGUACCAGAUGGAGCUGGUACACAGCUGCCCUGGACACAGAAUUGACCUGCGCCUCCAUGGACAGCUGUGAGCAUACUCGUAAUACCAACAGAAUCCAUUGCCUCACAUCAGAUUUCCAGAGAAGCACCCCAACCUGCAAAUGUCUUUCACUUUCCAAAGUUCAAACCUUAUGUUGUAGAUGAAACAAGAAAGAGGCUGGCAAAAGGCAGACAGUUGCAGUGAUUUUCUGGUGUAAUGUAAUACUUAUAUUUUCAGCUAGUGAAGUUGGUGCUAAAGCAUUAGUCCUGAUAGAAGGGGAAUGUUGGCAAAACCACCACCAUAUCAAGAUGGAAAGAGCACAGCUUCUUUCUGCAGGUGGAGUUAAUUUUAUUAUUGUGAUUUUUCACUAACAGAUUAAACAUCUAUCCCAAGACAGAUACAUACACUUAAAUGUUUAUUAAAAUUCAUCAGGCUGAUGAAUUUUCAUGAUGAUUAAGAAAGAAUGAAAUUGCAGACUGCUACAAGAUGUGGAGAGAAUUCAACACUGAGGAAAUUAGAGGCCAAAAGAACAGUAGUGGAGAGAUUCUUCCAUCCCCAUUAGCAGGGCUGCGAAGGACCUUUGUCUGUAAGAGAGGCUUCAAGAUUUUCCCUGCCAGUCACAGAGUACUAGGUUAAAUAGAUUUGACUGAAAAGAAAGCUUCAUGUGCAG